rnacentral:rRNA from 1 species
AUGGCCGCAUUAACAAACCUCAUGACCCGCUUUUGCGCCGGUGAGGACAGCUGGCUAGCCAGAUGCAGCACCAGCGACCCCAGUACAUCUGAAGUUAGAGAUGGAAACGGGAAAUCGCGGCGCAAUAGCAAUAACAAACGCCGGAAUAAAGAAGACAGCACGAAGGGCACGACAGUAAAUGCCGGAUUCAAAAGCUCUCGGCCAGGUCAAAAGCCGCCCCCUAAAGGCACCAGGGAUGAAUUGUCUAGCCUCAACAAAAUUCUGGACCAAGUAUGUCAGAUUCAUAGUAGCCCUGGUAAACCUGCUAAUCAUACCCAUAAAGAAUGUUUGGUCUUCAAGCAGUCCGGCAAGCUCAACGCCGUACACAAGGGGGAGGAUACACCAAGUGAAGACGAGGACGAGCCCCCUAAGCAAGACACGGGGGAACAAAAGCAAUUUCCACCAGAAGUCAAAACAGUAAACGUGUUACACGUAAUCAAGGGAAAAAACAACGCGGCACUCCCAGGAAAGUAUACCCAAGUGCCUGUCACCACGAAGUCCUGCCACUGGUCAUCUCAACCAAUCACUUUCGAACAUCGCGAUUACUCAGCAAGUAUCCGACACGCAGGAUGGGCUGCCCUGGUAUUAGACCCAGUGAUUGGCGGAUAUCACUUCACAAGAAUCUUGAUGGACGGCGGCAGUAGCCUAAACCUAAUAUAUCAGGAUACAAUCCGCGUGAUGGGGUUAGACCCAACACAAAUUCGCCAUAGCAAUACUACCUUUAAAGGAGUAACGCCAGGACCAGGGGCUCGUUGUACGGGCUCCCUCCUACUACAAGUUAUAUUCGGCUCCCUCGAUAACUUCCGUCGCGAGCAUUUAACUUUCCACAUCGCUCCGUUUCAAAGUGGCUAUCAAGCACUGCUCGGACGCAAAGCUUUCGCUCGCUUUAAUGCAAUACCACACUACGCCUCCCUCACACUCAAGAUGCCCGGUCCACGUGGCAUCAUCACAGUGCACGGAAAUAUCAAGCGAUCUCUGCGCGCCGAAGAGAGUGAGGCUGCCUUGGCCGCCGCACACUAA